rnacentral:rRNA from 1 species
UACGAAGGGUGCAAACGUUGCUCGGAAUUAUUGGGCGUAAAGCGCACGUAGGCGGCUAUCUAAGUCGGAUGUGAAAUCCCUCGGCUUAACCAAGGAAGUGCACCCGAAACUGGAUAGCUUGAGUACAGAAGAGGAUCGCGGAAUUCCCGGUGUAGAGGUGAAAUUCGUAGAUAUCGGGAGGAACACCAGUGGCGAAGGCGGCGAUCUGGGCUGAUACUGACGCUGAGGUGCGAAAUCGUGGGGAGCAAACAGG